GAUCUGGUUCAGGAGUGAACGCUAGCUACAGGCUUAACACAUGCAAGUCGAGGGGCAGCAUUGAGAUAGCUGCUAUUCAGAUGGCGACCGGCGCACGGGUGAGUAACGCGUAUCCAACCUUCCCCAUAGUAGAGGAUAGCCCGGCGAAAGUCGGAUUAAUACUCUAUGUUGUUCAAUGCGGACAUCUAAGUUGAACCAAAGGUUUACCGCUAUGGGAUGGGGAUGCGUCUGAUUAGGUAGUCGGCGGGGUAACGGCCCACCGAGCCAUCGAUCAGUAGGGGUUCUGAGAGGAAGGUCCCCCACAUUGGUACUGAGACACGGACCAAACUCCUACGGGAGGCAGCAGUGAGGAAUAUUGGUCAAUGGGCGAGAGCCUGAACCAGCCAAGUAGCGUGCAAGGAUGACUGCCCUAUGGGUUGUAAACUGCUUUUAUGCGGGAAUAAAGUCAGGUACGCGUACCUGUUUGUAUGUACCGCAUGAAUAAGGACCGGCUAAUUCCGUGCCAGCCGCGGC
rnacentral:rRNA from 1 species